rnacentral:lncRNA from 1 species
CUUAGUCAUACAAGUAAUACAGUUUUUCUCAUUCCAAAUUGUUGUUGCUCCUAGGUGUAGCCAGUCUCCUGUGAAAUGUUGAAAGGCAAACCUUCUGAAGAAGUCAAGAUGAAAUACCUCUGCUUUUGUCCAAGCAGGGAGGAAUGGGAAGCAGUAUGUGUGGUAUCAUCUCAGUCCAGCUCUGGGGGCUAGAGUUACAGAAAGACUAGAAUAAUGACAAAGUGCUACAAAUAUCCAGAGCGCUGUUACACAGAUAUGAAGAUCCAGGAUGGCUGCUUCUUUUACCUUCACAUUUUCAGAAGCAGGAGAAGCUGCAGGGUCACAGCAGUGGGAUGAUCAGAUGGCUCUUGUAGUGGGUAGAAGGAAUCCAAGCAGCAGCGGAGGAUGUUGCAGCAGCAGGUAUGAGACAUGCUUUAUUAUAGCUGUAGUUUUGAGUCCCUUGUCUGUUUUGAAUUGAUCUGUCGGUACUUGACUGACUUGCUCUCCUUGGUCUCCUUGUACUCAUUUACAUGCUCUAUUACGAUGUUGGCAGUGCUGGAUAUCCGUGAUUACUUUUAAGUGCACUCUUUCUUUCUGGUAUAUUGAUGAUUCAUACUAUUAGGAGAGGCUUCCUGCCUUUCCAUGACUUUGUGAAAAUGAUCUAUUUCAUAAUGUCUCCUUACUCUUAGCAGGGCUUGUGCUCUGUUCCCAAAACUCCCACUGUUUUCACUGCAAGCAUGACCAGACUGUGAAAUAGCUUGGCUGGUCUGGUGAAUAAUCUGUUAGUCUCUUUUAAUAAACUGC